GUUACAACAAGCCACUCAAACGCUUCGAGGCCUAGGAGUGGCAACUAAUCCCCAUAGAAGUGCAAUGGUAUUAGAUUGGAAGGAUCCUGAAGGAUGUGAAGGAACUAUAUAGCCAUAUGUAUUGGAUCAUCUUCCUAUAAAUUUAUGGGGACGAGAUGUCCUAGAUCAAUUAGGUUUGACAUUAACAAAUAACAUCAAUCCAAAUGCGCCCACUAUUAGGGCUAGACAAGGUUUCAGGAAAGAAAAAAGAUUAGGAGAACAAGGCAUAGCAGCACCAAUUCAAAUAGAUCAGGGAAUAAAUAGACAUGGACUGGGUUUUCAGAAGGGGUCACUGAGGCAAUAAAAAUUACUUGGAAAUCAGAUAGACCAGUAUGGGUUCCUCAGUGGCCCCUGACUAAAGAAAAGAUACAAGCAGCCCAUGACCUGGUCAAACAACAAUUAGCGGAGGGACAUAUACAACCUUCCGUAUCUCCUUACAAUACUCCCAUUUUUGUCAUUAAAAAGAAAUCUGGUAAAUGGAGAUUAUUGCAAGAUUUAAGAGCCAUUAAUAAUGAGAUGGUUAUUAUGGGACCUGCUCAAUCAGGGAUUCCCCAAUUGUCUGCUUUACCAAAAACCUGGUAUGUUUUAGCUAUAGAUAUUAAAGAUUGUUUUUUUUCAAUUCCAAUUCAUCCUGAGGAUAGUCCACAUUUUGCAUUUACUAUCCCUGCACUGAAUCAUGAAGGUCCUGAUCAGAGAUAUGAAUGGAAAGUACUCCCUCAAGGGAUGGCUAACAGCCCAACUAUGUG
rnacentral:lncRNA from 1 species